GCCGAAAUAGUUCAAUUGGGAGAGCGUUAGACUAUAGAUCGAAAGUCUCUGGUUCGAUCCCGGGUUUCAGCA
rnacentral:tRNA from 1 species